rnacentral:rRNA from 1 species
UACGUAGGUGGCAAGCGUUGUCCGGAUUUACUGGGCGUAAAGAGCGCGCAGGCGGUCGUUCAAGUCGCGUGUGAAAGCCCCCGGCUCAACUGGGGAGGGUCACGCGAUACUGAUCGACUCGAAGGCAGGAGAGGGAAGUGGAAUUCCCGGUGUAGUGGUGAAAUGCGUAGAUAUCAGGAGGAACACCCGUGGCGAAAGCGGCUCUCUGGGACGGUACUGACGCUGAGACGCGAAAGCGUGGGGAGCAAACGGG